UUUUUUUUUUUCCCCCCGCCGGCGUAUAGAAGCGUGUCAGCGUUUAUUGGAAAUUAUUGGGCGUAAAGCGCGGGUAGGGUGUUUGGUUAAGUUGGAUGUGAAAGCCCCGGGGUUCAACCUUGGAACUGCCUUCAAAACUGGCCGAGCUAGGAUUCCGGUAGAGGGUGGUGGAAUUUCCUGUGUAGCGGUUGAAAUGCGGUAGAUAUAGGAAGGACCACCAGUGGCGAAGGCGACCACCUUGACUGAUUCUGACACAUGAGGUUCGAAAGGCGUUGGGAGCCAACCAGGAUUAGAUUACCCUUGUAGUUCCACGCCGUUAAACGAUGUUAACUAGCCGGUUGGAUUCCUUGAGGAUUUUAGUGGCGCAGGUAACGCCAUUAAGUUGACCGCCUGGGGAGUUCGGCCGCCAGGGUUAAAACUUCAAAUGAAUUGACGGGGGCCCGCACCAAGCGUUGGAGCAUGUUGUUUAAUUUGGAGCAACGGGGAGGACCUUACCUGGCCUUGACCUGGUGAGAACUUUUCAGAGAUGGAUUGGUGCCUUUGGGAACUUAGACACCGGUUGCUGCCAUGGCUGUUGUUCAGCUUGUGUUCGUGAGGAUGUUGGGUUAAUUCCCGUAACGAAGCGCCACCCUUGUCCUUAGUUUCCAGCACCUCUUAGGGUGGGCAUUCUAAGGAGACUGCCGGUGACAAACCGGAGGAAGGUUGGGGAUGACUUCAAUUCUUCAUGGCCUUUACGGCCAGGGCUACACCCGUGCUACAAUGGGUCGGUACAAAGGGUUGCCAAGCCGCGAGGUGGAAGCUAAUCCCAUUAAACCGAUCGUAGUCCGGAUCGCAGUCUGCAACUCGACUGCGUGAAGUCGGAAUCGCUAGUAAUCGUGAUCAGUAUGUCACGUGACGUUUCUCGCGCGGCCAUA
rnacentral:rRNA from 1 species